rnacentral:rRNA from 1 species
UACAGAGGUCCCAAGCGUUGUUCGGAUUCACUGGGCGUAAAGGGUGCGUAGGUGGUCAGGUAAGUCGGAUGUGAAAUCUCCGAGCUCAACUCGGAAACUGCAUUGGAAACUACCUGGCUCGAGGGUUGGAGGGGGGACUGGAAUGCUUGGUGUAGCAGUGAAAUGCGUAGAUAUCAAGCGGAACACCAGUGGCGAAGGCGAGUCCCUGGACAGCUCCUGACACUGAUGCACGAAAGCUAGGGGAGCAAACAGG